GAUGAACGCUAGCGGCAGGCUUAAUACAUGCAAGUCGAGGGGCAGCAUGACUGUAGCAAUACAAUUGAUGGCGACCGGCAAACGGGUGCGGAACACGUACACAACCUUCCAACAAGUGGGGGAUAGCCCAGAGAAAUUUGGAUUAAUACCCCGUAACAUAGCGAUGUGGCAUCACAUUGCUAUUAUAGAUUUUUCGCUUGUUGAUGGGUGUGCGGCUGAUUAGAUAGUUGGCGGGGUAACGGCCCACCAAGUCUACGAUCAGUAGCUGAUGUGAGAGCAUGAUCAGCCACACGGGCACUGAGACACGGGCCCGACUCCUACGGGAGGCAGCAGUAAGGAAUAUUGGACAAUGGAUGCAAGUCUGAUCCAGCCAUGCCGCGUGGAGGAUUAAGGUCCUCUGGAUUGUAAACUUCUUUUAUAAGGGACGAAAAAAGGCUUUUCUAAGUCGUCUGACGGUACCUUAUGAAUAAGCACCGGCUAACUCCGUGCCAGCAGCCGCGGUAAAAC
rnacentral:rRNA from 1 species